GUACACGCUGUGACUAGCAUAUCAAUAAGCGGAGGAAAAGAAACUAACAAGGAUUCCCCUAGUAACGGCGAGUGAAGCGGGAAGAGCUCAAAUUUGAAAUCUUAAAGGGUUUCCCUUUACGAAUUGUAGUUUAAAGAAGUGUUUUCUGUUGAGGUUUUGGUAAAAGUUCUUUGGAAUAGGACAUCAUAGAGGGUGAGAAUCCCGUAUUUGACCUUUACUUUCAACUUCGUGAUACACUUUCAAAGAGUCGGAUUGUUUGGGAAUGCAGUCCAAAAUGGGUGGUAAAUUUCAUCUAAAGCUAAAUAUUGGCGAGAGACCGAUAGCGAACAAGUACCGUGAGGGAAAGAUGAAAAGAACUUUGAAAAGAGAGUUAAACAGUACGUGAAAUUGUCAAAAGGGAAGCGUUUGACACCAGUGUUGUUUUUCUGAAAAUCAAUUAAAGAACUGUUUAUGCUAAGUUGUUUAGACUUUAUCAGCUAACUGUUUAGUUUUGAGCUUUUCUUUAAUGCACUUUUCAGUUAACAAGUCAACAUCAAUUUCUUUUGCUGUAAAAAAGCUUGAGGAAGGUGGCUUGAGAUUCGUCUUAAGUGUUUAUAGCCUCUUGCCUAUGCAGUCGGAGAGAUUGAGGUCUGCAGCGUAGAUCCUUCGGGGCUAAAUGCAUUUGUGCUAAGUUAUAGCAUUUUAUAGACAACUUGUUGACUAUGAUUUGUCUUGUAGCUUACUCGCUUAUGUUAUUUUACCUACGCUUAGGAUGUUGACAGCAGUAUAGACUGU
rnacentral:rRNA from 1 species